rfam:Neocallimastix californiae strain G1 LY90scaffold_928, whole genome shotgun sequence.
GGCUCAAUGGUCUAGUAGUAUGAUUCUCGCUUCGGGUGUGAGAGGUCCCGGGUUCAAUUCCCGGUUGAGCCC